rnacentral:rRNA from 1 species
CCCUUAGACGUUCUGGGCCGCACGCGUGCUACACUGAGUGGAUCAGCGGGUCAGGUUGCGCGAAAGCGUUUCCUAAUCUUUAAAUCCGCUCGUGAUGGGGAUUGACGGUUGCAAUUUUCUGUCAUGAACGAGGAAUACCUUGUAAGCGCGGGUCAUCAUCCCGCGCUGAAUACGUCCCUGCCCUUUGUACACACCGCCCGUCGCUCCUACCGAUUGGAUGGUCCGGUGAAGCCUCGGGAUUGUGGUUCUUGCCGCUUUAUUGUGGCGUGACCGCGAGAACUUGUCUAAACCUUAUCAUCUAGAGGAAGGUGAAGUCGUAACA